GACAGAGGGUGCAAACGUUGCUCGGAAUUACUGGGCGUAAAGCGCGUGUAGGUGGAUUGGUGUGUCAGAUGUGAAAGCCCUGGGCUCAACCCAGGAACUGCACCUGAAACUACCAGUCUUGAGUGGUGGAGAGGGAAGUGGAAUUCCUGGUGUAGCGGUGAAAUGCGCAGAUAUCAGGAGGAACACCAAUGGCGAAGGCAGCUCGCUGGGACGGUACUGACGCUGGAGACGCGAAAGCGUGGGGAGCAAACAGG
rnacentral:rRNA from 1 species